CCGUGCUAGCCGGGGAAUUAGCGGCGCCCUAUAACCUGCAAUCCGCUAUAGCAGGGGUGAUGUCCUGUUUAGGGCUUGUCAUUUGUGAUGCUGCCCUCAGUAAGUGGCGUUGACGUUUUGGUCUUGCGCAAUGGAAACUCAUGAACCGUGUCAGGAGGGGAACCUAGCAGCACUAAGUGAGAAUUUUCGUGUGCCGUAAGGUAGCCGGAGCCGAGUUAACUGCCGGGGUAACGGUCACACUGACAUUUUCAACGCAGGGCGCACGG
rfam:Clostridium sp. CAG:253 genomic scaffold, scf140